rnacentral:rRNA from 1 species
GACGAACGCUGGCGGCGUGCUUAACACAUGCAAGUCGAACGGAAAGGCCCUGCUUUUGUGGGGUGCUCGAGUGGCGAACGGGUGAGUAACACGUGAGUAACCUGCCCUUGACUUUGGGAUAACUUCAGGAAACUGGGGCUAAUACCGGAUAGGAGCUCCUGCUGCAUGGUGGGGGUUGGAAAGUUUCGGCGGUUGGGGAUGGACUCGCGGCUUAUCAGCUUGUUGGUGGGGUAGUGGCUUACCAAGGCUUUGACGGGUAGCCGGCCUGAGAGGGUGACCGGACACAUUGGGCCUGAGAUACGGCCCAGACUCCUACGGGAGGCAGCAGUGGGGAAUAUUGCACAAUGGGCGGAAGCCGUAUGCAGCAACGCCGCGUGCGGGAUGACGGCCUUCGGGUUGUAACCCGCUUUCGCCUGUGACGAAGCGUGAGUGACGGUAAUGGGUAAAGAAGCACCGGCUAACUACGUG